GGAGCUAUGGAUCAGUGGAAGAGUCUCUGUUUUGCAUGCAAAAGGCCCCAGGUUCAACCCUCGGCAUCUCCA
rnacentral:tRNA from 1 species